UACGAAGGGGGCUAGCGUUGCUCGGAAUUAUUGGGCGUAAAGAGCGUGUAGGCGGCCAGAUAAGUCCGCUGUGAAAUCUCGAGGCUCAACUUCGAGCUGUCGGUGGAAACUAUCUGGCUAGAGUCCGGAAGAGGAGAAUGGAAUUCCUGGUGUAGCGGUGAAAUGCGCAGAUAUCAGGAAGAACACCCGUGGCGAAGGCGGUUCUCUGGGACGGUACUGACGCUGAGACGCGAAAGCGUGGGGAGCGAACAGG
rnacentral:rRNA from 1 species